AUUUGCUAUUGCUUGAACCAGAAAUGCUUCUUGAGAAGCAAAAGAACGAGAUUAAGAGGCUUGAAGCUUGGCGUGUUUAUGGGGCCUUGAUGCAUGCAGCUGGUCUAUGUGUAUAUGAUCGGCUCAAAAUGUUACCUGGUAUGCUAACGCCACCAAUACGGACUGUCUUGAAGAGCAAUGGAAGAGUUAUGACUAAAAUGCCAAAUAAACGAAAAGCUAGCACAGACAACUUGAUGCAACAACCACCACUCAAGAAACUAGCGACAGAUGGUGCGAUGGGUGUAAUGCCAAUGAACUCCAUGCAAGUUGACAUGCAAGGGGCAACAGGUGGAUAUCCCAAGGCUGUUGGGGCUUCUAGCAUGAGCAUACCAUUAAUAUCUCGGCAGUUGCCUAAUGAAAACAUGCCAGGAAGGGAUGGUGGUCAGGUUUUAAAAGCAUCAACUGUGCUUGCACAGGCUUGGAAGGAGGACAUAGAUGCAGGACGUUUGCUGGCUUCUCUAUACG
rnacentral:misc_RNA from 1 species